rnacentral:rRNA from 1 species
GACGAACGCUGGCGGCGUGCUUAACACAUGCAAGUCGAACGGAAAGGCCCUGCUUUUGUGGGGUGCUCGAGUGGCGAACGGGUGAGUAACACGUGAGUAACCUGCCCUUGACUUUGGGAUAACUUCAGGAAACUGGGGCUAAUACCGGAUAGGAGCUCCUGCUGCAUGGUGGGGGUUGGAAAGUUUCGGCGGUUGGGGAUGGAUUCGCGGCUUAUCAGCUUGUUGGUGGGGUAGUGGCUUACCAAGGCUUUGACGGGUAGCCGGCCUGAGAGGGUGACCGGCCACAUUGGGACUGAGAUACGGCCCAGACUCCUACGGGAGGCAGCAGUGGGGAAUAUUGCACAAUGGGCGGAAGCCCGAUGCAGCAACGCCGCGUGCGGGAUGACGGCCUUCGGGUUGUAAACCGCUUUCGCCUGUGACGAAGCGUGAGUGACGGUAAUGGGUAAAGAAGCACCGGCUAACUACGU